CCUACGGGUGGCAGCAGUGAGGAAUAUUGGUCAAUGGGCGCUAGCCUGAACCAGCCAAGUAGCGUGAAGGAUGACUGCCCUAGGGGUUGUAAACUUCUUUUAUAUGGGAGUGAAGUGCAGUAUGUAUACUGCUUUGCAUGUACCUUAUGAAUAAGGAUCGGCUAACUCCGUGCCAGAAGCCGCGGUAAUACGGAGGAUCCGAGCGUUAUCCGGAUUUAUUGGGUUAAAAGGGACCGUAGGCGGGUUGUUAAGUAAGUGGUGAAAGUUUGCGUCUCAACCGUAAAAUUGCAGUGGAUACUGGCAUCCUUGAGUAAAGUAGAGGUAGUCGGAAUUCGAGGGGUAGCGGUGAAAUGCUAGGA
rnacentral:rRNA from 1 species